rnacentral:rRNA from 1 species
UACGUAGGUGGCAAGCGUUGUCCGGAUUUACUGGGCGUAAAGAGCGCGCAGGCGGUCGUGCAAGUCGCGUGUGAAAGCCCCCGGCUCAACUGGGGAGGGUCACGCGAUACUGCUCGACUCGAAGGCAGGAGAGGGAAGUGGAAUUCCGGGUGUAGUGGUGGAAUGCGUAGAGAUCCGGAGGAACACCAGCGGCGAAGGCGGCAUCCUGGACUGGUCCUGACACUCAGGAGCGAAAGCGUGGGGAGCGAUCCGG